rnacentral:rRNA from 1 species
CCUACGGGUGGCAGCAGUGAGGAAUAUUGGUCAAUGGACGAGAGUCUGACCCAGCCAAGUAGCGUGAAGGAUGACUGCCCUAUGGGUUGUAAACUUCUUUUAUAAAGGAAUAAAACGUGGCUCGUGUGCCUCUUUGCAUUUACUUUACGAAUAAGGAUCGGCUAACCCCGUGCCAGCAGCCGCGGUAAUACGGUGGAUCCGUGCGUUAUCCGGAAUUAUUGGGUUUAAAGGGAGCGUAGAUGGGUUGUUAAGUCAGUUGUGAAGGUGUGCGGCACAACCGUAAAAAUGCAAUUGAUACUGGCAGGCUUGAGUACAGAUGAGGUAGGCGGAAUUCGUGGUGUAGCGGUGAAAUGCUUAGAUAUCACGAAGAACCCCGAUUGCGAAGGCAACGUACUAAGCUGUAACUGACAUUGAUGCUCGAAAGUGUGGGUAGCAAACAGGAUUAGAUACCCGUGUAGUC